rnacentral:rRNA from 1 species
UAACCGGAUUAGAUACCCUGGUAGUCCACCCCGUAAACGUUGGGAACUAGUUGUGGGGACCAUUCCACGGUUUCCGUGACGCAGCUAACGCAUUAAGUUCCCCGCCUGGGGAGUACGGCCGCAAGGCUAAAACUCAAAGGAAUUGACGGGGACCCGCACAAGCGGCGGAGCAUGCGGAUUAAUUCGAUGCAACGCGAAGAACCUUACCAAGGCUUGACAUAUACGAGAACGGGCCAGAAAUGGUCAACUCUUUGGACACUCGUAAACAGGUGGUGCAUGGUUGUCGUCAGCUCGUGUCGUGAGAUGUUGGGUUAAGUCCCGCAACGAGCGCAACCCUCGUUCUAUGUUGCCAGCACGUAGUGGUGGGAACUCAUGGGAUACUGCCGGGGUCAACUCGGAGGAAGGUGGGGAUGACGU